GUGUUUUGGUUUGUUUAACACUUUUAAGUUACUACAUGAUUCCUUAUGUGUUCCUUCAUAAAUAUUUAUAUAUAUUUUGCAGCUGUUUUAGCAGAGUAUGCAUUAGGCCCUGAUUACUUACGGCUCCUGGUCUGAUGAUUGGGAGUGUUGUUUAUUAUUUAUAAAUAUUGAUGUGCUUUAUUAGCUGCGUCCCUGGUGUAUCACAGCACACACUGAAGACAUCCGGCUCUGUUUUAGUGCAACGCAGUGGUUGGGUUGUGUUGCCAGGCCUGUAAAAGUGCUAAAUCAGUGAUGUACAGCUGAUAGAGGGCGUGCGUGAGCUGCUGGAUGUGUAUAGGUGUGUAUUUAUAGUGUAUAUAGACGGUUAGGGCUGUGAUUUUAUAAGUGAGGAAAGCUGUAUGAAGUGGCAGUAUUCCCCGAUUCCCCGCGCUGUCCCUUAUUUAACACGGCUGGAUCUCAGAGGACUGUUUUUUUCCACUUCCUGUCAACUACUGCUGUGGUGUAAAGAGAUAGUGACUCAUCUCCCUCCUCUGGGCCUCAAAGACAUUUCAAAAACAGCUAUUAUUUAACUAUAAAAAGUGAUUAUAACCUGAUACUAAGUGAUUAACAUCAGAUAUUAAUAGGAAAUAAUCACUAUUCACCGGGCUACAUAUUAUCUGGUGGCCACCACUUAGGUUCUAUGUGGUGAGAACCAGAUACUAAGUUGUGAAUCCCAAAUACUCCAUUGUGAGCCCCAGGUAGCAUGUAAUAAGCACCAGACACUAUGUAGUGACCAUCAGAUGCUAAGUGGUGAGCACCAGACACACCAGAUACUAAAUGGUUAUGACCACAUUCUAUUAUCAUUCUGUUACUUAGAAGCUAACACUAGAUAAAAUGUGGUGAGUACCAGGUACUAUGUUGUAAGGUGUGAGCACCAGAAAAUAUAUGGUGAGCACCAGAUACUAUGUUGUAAGUGGUGAGCACCAGAUAAUAUAUGGUGAACACCAAAUACUAUGUGCUUACCACUUAAUACUAUCUGGUACUACAUAGCUAACACCAGAUAUAAUGAGGUGAGCACCAAAUACUAUGUGGUGAGCACCAGAUAAGAUGUGCUCACCACUUAAUAUUGUCUGUUUCUACAUAGCUAACACCAGAUAUAAUGUGGUGAGCACCAAUUACUAGAUGGUGAGCACCAGAUGCUAUGUGCUUACCACUAAAUACUAUUUGGUACUACAUAGCUAACACCAGAUAUAAUCUUGUGAGCACCAGGUACUAUGUGGUGACCAUCAGAUGCUAAUUGGUGAGCACCAGAUACACCAGAUUAGCACUUAGCAUCUAGUGCACCAGAUAUUAUGUACUGAGCAACAGUAAGCACCAGAUACUAGGUGGUUAUCACCACAUUCUAUUAUCUAUUACUAAGUAGUCAACACCAGAUAUAAUGUGGUGAGUACCAGGUCAUGUUGUAAGUGGUGAGCACCAGAUACUAUGUGGUAAGCACCAGUGAGCACCAGAUGCUAUGGCGUUAUCACCACUUUCUAUUAUCUGUUACUAUUGUAGCCAGAUAUAAUGUGAUGGGCACCAGAUACUAUGUUGUGAGCACCAGAUACUAUGUGGUGAGCACCAGAUACUAUGUUGUAAGUGGUGAGCACCAGAUAAUAUAUGGUGAGCACCAAAUACUAUGUGCUUACCACUUAAUACUAUCUGGUACUACAUAGCUAACACCAGAUAUAAUGUGAUGAGCACCAAAUACUAGGUGGUGAGCACCAGAUGCUAUGUGCUUACCACUUAAUACUAUUAUCUGUUACUAUUGAAGCCAACACCACUCAAUAAUGUGAUGGGCACCAGGUACUAUGUUGUGAGCACCAUAUGCUAUGUGGUGAGCACCAGCGAGCACCAGAUACAAUGUGGUUAUCACCAUAUUCUAUUCACAUCUCAUACUAUGUAGCUUACUCCAGAUAUAAUGUGAUAAGCACCAGGUACUAUGUUGUGAGCACCAGAUAUGAAGUUGUGAGCACCAGAUAUAAUGUAAUGUAUGUAAUAAGCACAUCAGAUGCUAUGUGGUGACCACCAGAUACUAAUAAGAAAAAAAUAUCACUGUUCACGUUGCCACACAGUUUCUGGUCUUCACUACGUAUCGUCUGGUGCUCACCACACAGCAUCUUGUGGACAUCGUAUUGCAUCUGGUGCUCACAGCUUA